CAGCGUGGUUCUCCUGUUAGCAGGAGAUGAAAAGGGAAUGGGGUGUGAGUCCCCAACAGGCCCGGCUGCUGUAUUUCCCCCUUUGCCAAUUGGCAUGCUGACAACGAUAGACCACUGGACGCUGGUUCGGGAAGGUGUUGUCGGCUGAGGGAUGAGUCAGAAGACCUGCCACCGACU
rnacentral:ncRNA from 1 species